rnacentral:rRNA from 1 species
UACGUAGGGGGCAAGCGUUGUCCGGAAUCAUUGGGCGUAAAGCGCGUGUAGGCGGCCCGGUAAGUCCGCUGUGAAAGUCGGGGGCUCAACCCUCGAAAGCCGGUGGAUACUGUCGGGCUAGAGUACGGAAGAGGCGAGUGGAAUUCCUGGUGUAGCGGUGAAAUGCGCAGAUAUCAGGAGGAACACCCAUUGCGAAGGCAGCUCGCUGGGACGUUACUGACGCUGAUGAGCGAAAGCGUGGGGAGCGAACAGG